UUUGUAUUUCUUCAUCCUGCAAAUACAAACAGCAUAUAUAACCUCUUUUUCUCAGGUUAGUAAAAAACAUUGUGAAAGAAAAGUGGCAUCCCAGUCUCCCAGCUACAAUCAUCAUUGUUGAGUAUCUAGUCAACAGUCUAUCUGGAACAGGAGAUUUCCCCAUUAAAUCCCUCACUUCCUCAAGUAAAUGGUAUCAGAAGGAAUGAGCAAACCAAGUACUUCAUGGCUCCUGGCUUCCCUGGCCUCCUUCCAGAUUCAGCUCAAAUCUGACCUUCUGUAAAAGACCUCUCCCAGAGCCCCUCACUACUUUUACCUUUUCCC